GACGAACGCUGGCGGCGUGCCUAACACAUGCAAGUCGAACGGAAAGGCCCUGCUUUUGUGGGGUGCUCGAGUGGCGAACGGGUGAGUAACACGUGAGUAACCUGCCCUUGACUUUGGGAUAACUUCAGGAAACUGGGGCUAAUACCGGAUAGGAGCCCCUGCUGCAUGGUGGGGGUUGGAAAGUUUCGGCGGUUGGGGAUGGACUCGCGGCUUAUCAGCUUGUUGGUGGGGUAGUGGCUUACCAAGGCUUUGACGGGUAGCCGGCCUGAGAGGGUGACCGGCCACAUUGGGACUGAGAUACGGCCCAGACUCCUACGGGAGACAACAGUGGGGAAUAUUGCACAAUGAGCGGAAGCCUGAUGCAGCAACGCCGCGUGCGGGAUGACGGCCUUCGGGUUGUAAACCGCUUUCGCCUGUGACGAAGCGUGAGUGACGGUAAUGGGUAAAGAAGCACCGGCUAACUACGUG
rnacentral:rRNA from 1 species